CGGGUGAGUAACGCGUGGGAACGUGCCCCUUUCUUCGGAAUAGCCUCGGGAAACUGGGAGUAAUACCGGAUAAGCCCUACGGGGGAAAGAUUUAUCGGGAAGGGAUCGGCCCGCGUUGGAUUAGGUAGUUGGUGGGGUAAUGGCCUACCAAGCCGACGAUCCAUAGCUGGUUUGAGAGGAUGAUCAGCCACACUGGGACUGAGACACGGCCCAGACUCCUACGGGAGGCAGCAGUGGGGAAUCUUAGACAAUGGGGGAAACCCUGAUCUAGCCAUGCCGCGUGAUCGAUGAAGGCCUUAGGGUUGUAAAGAUCUUUCAGAUGGGAAGAUAAUGACGGUACCAUCAGAAGAAGCCCCGGCUAACUCCGUGCCAGCAGCCGCGGUAAUACGGAGGGGGCUAGCGUUAUUCGGAAUUACUGGGCGUAAAGCGCACGUAGGCGGAUCAGAAAGUCAGAGGUGAAAUCCCGGGGCUCAACCCCGGAACGGCCUUUGAAACUCCUGGUCUUGAGGUCGAGAGAGGUGAGUGGAAUUCCGAGUGUAGAGGUGAAAU
rnacentral:rRNA from 1 species